UACGUAGGGUCCGAGCGUUGUCCGGAGUUACUGGGCGUAAAGCGCGCGCAGGCGGCGGUGUAAGCAUGGCGUGAAAGCCCCAGGCUUAACCUGGGAGGGUCGUCGUGGACUGCACCGCUUGAGGGCGGUAGGGGCUGGUGGAAUGCCUGGUGUAGUGGUGAAAUGCGUAGAGAUCAGGCGGAACACCCGUGGCGAAGGCGGCCAGCUGGGCCGUCCCUGACGCUGAGGCGCGAAGGCGUGGGGAGCGAACGGG
rnacentral:ncRNA from 3 species